GAUGAACGCUAGCGACAGGCUUAACACAUGCAAGUCGAGGGGCAGCACAGGUAGCAAUACCGGGUGGCGACCGGCGCACGGGUGAGUAACGCGUAUGCAACUUACCUAUCAGAGGGGGAUAACCCGGCGAAAGUCGGACUAAUACCGCAUGAAGCAGGGGUCCCGCAUGGGGAUAUUUGCUAAAGAUUCAUCGCUGAUAGAUAGGCAUGCGUUCCAUUGGGCAGUUGGCGGGGUAACGGCCCACCAAACCGACGAUGGAUAGGGGUUCUGAGAGGAAGGUCCCCCACAUUGGUACUGAGACACGGACCAAACUCCUACGGGAGGCAGCAGUGAGGAAUAUUGGUCAAUGGCCGAGAGGCUGAACCAGCCAAGUCGCGUGAGGGAUGAAGGUUCUAUGGAUCGUAAACCUCUUUUAUAAGGGAAUAAAGUGCGGGACGUGUCCCGUUUUGUAUGUACCUUAUGAAUAAGGAUCGGCUAACUCCGUG
rnacentral:rRNA from 1 species